rnacentral:rRNA from 1 species
AACGUAGGGGACAAGCGUUAUCCGGAUUUACUGGGCGUAAAGCGCCCGUAGGCGGCCUGACAAGUUGGACGUGAAAGCUCCUGGCUUAACUGGGAGAGGCCGUUCAAAACUGUCAAGCUAGAGUCUGGAAGAGGAGAGCGGAAUUCCCGGUGUAGUGGUGGAAUGCGUAGAGAUCAAGAGGAACACCUGAGGUGAAGACGGGUUGCUGGGCCAACACUGACGCUGAGGCGCGAAAGCCAGGGGAGCAAACGGG